AUGCUUUCUGUUCGUUUGAAAAGUAUUCUUCCAGAUAUAAUAUCUCCUACCCAAAGUGCCUUCGUCCCGGGUAGAACGAUUAUUGACAACAUCUUGGUAGCCUAUGAAUGCAUCCAUAAGAUUAAGAAUACCAGGAAAUCAGGAGUGUGUGCUGUUAAGUUGGAUAUGCAUAAAGCGUAUGAUAGAGUUGAAUGGAUUUUCUUGAGAAAUAUGAUGCAUAAACUAGGCUUUGAUAGUCAGUGGAUUGAUCUUGUUAUGGCAUGUGUGAGCUCAGUUAGAUAUAAAGUCCGGUUUAAUUCCCAAGAAACGGAAAUGUUUAUACCUUCAAGGGGGAUUCGGCAGGGUGACCCAUUAUCACCUUACCUGUUCUUAAUUUGUGCGGAGGGUCUUUCUAGCUUGCUGCAGUAUGAAGAAGAAGUUGGUGGCAUCGAUGGGAUAAGAGUGUGGAGGAAUGCACUGUCAGUAUCACACCUUUUAUUUGCUGACGAUUCUCUGACUCUCAUGAGAGCAGAUAUGUUGAAUGCAACUUCCUUACAGCAGCUGUUGGAGAUCUAUUGCAACAAUUUUGGACAGUUGGCAAGUUUGGGGAAAUCUAGUAUUUUCUUUAGCCCAAACACUCAUGCGCAAACCAGAGAUGAAAUAUGUCAACAUCUGAACAUUAAUAACCAAGCUAUUUCUGAUAAGUACCUUGGUUUGCCUUCUAUGGUGGGGGCAGACAGAAGUGAUUGUUUUAAACAUUUCUGUGAAAAGAUAAAGAAAUUGUUACAAGGAUGGAUGGAGAAAAAUUUGUCAACAGGAGGGAAAGAAACCUUGUUAAAAGCAGUAGCCUAG
rnacentral:rRNA from 1 species